CUAGCUUACGUGGAGGCGCUGGUGGGAUACUACCCUAGCUGUGUUGGCUUUCUAACCCGCACCACUUAUCGUGGUGGGAGACAGUGUCAGGCGGGCAGUUUGACUGGGGCGGUCGCCUCCUAAAAGGGAACGGAGGCGCUCAAAGGUUCCCUCAGAAUGGUUGGAAAUCAUUCAUAGAGUGUAAAGGCAUAAGGGAGCUUGACUGCGAGACCUACAAGUCGAGCAGGGUCGAAAGACGGACUUAGUGAUCCGGUGGUUCCGCAUGGAAGGGCCAUCGCUCAACGGAUAAAAGCUACCCCGGGGAUAA
rnacentral:rRNA from 1 species